CUUCACCGACCCCAACAACAGCGGCUCGAGCCCGUCCCGACCCUGCCCGUACGUCGCCAGCAACGCCUGCGCCUC
rnacentral:antisense_RNA from 1 species